UAAGUCACCAGAGCUUGGAGUUGAGGCCCUGGCUGGCCAAUGAACUCGUAAGUGUAGGGAGUAUGCUACAUGAGGGGCAAGUCUUUCACUAACACCAAAAGUGUUACAGCCCAAUGAGUGGAGUUUGAUAGCAAUUCUUGCUACAAGU